CUCAGGCAGUGCAGAGUGGUUUGAUUAAUCAGGGACAGUCAGCUGCCUUGCAUUUGCUCCAUAAAGAAACUGUGUACCUCUUGCUGAAUGUAAUCGCUGGGUCACAUCACUGGGUGCUUAAUCUUAAGGAAAGUAAAAUUUCCUACAUUCAGCUAGAGCAGAUCAGCAGAAGUUUUCCUCCUCCCUUCUCAGGAACAGAUGAACUGGAGAAUACAUCAGUUAUUUAUGAAUGUCUGGGGCAGCACUUUGCUUAAAUAAAACAACACACAGCAUGAAAGACAUGGUCUGAUCCUUGCUUCUAGGCCCUCCCAGGCUGAAUUCCUUCCAUGGGGCUUUUGAAAACUCUGGGCAUUUCUGAAGAAGAAGUUACUUCUGGGUUUAUACUUCAGGGAGGAAAUGAGAUGAACCUAAGUUGUGCCUUGAAAAAUGUGACACAAGAAGAUGUACUUUGAAUACCCACAGAGUCCUUGGGUGCGUUGCUGCAGCAAUGUGCGCUGAAGUAUUUGGAGUUCCUUGAAGAGAGAAGGCAGGGUGAACAUGGUGUCUCGCUACAGAUCCAGAGAAGCUUCACAGGGUUCAUUGGGGAGCUGCUGUGAAAAGUAA